CCUACGGGAGGCAGCAGUGGGGAAUAUUGGACAAUGGGGGCAACCCUGAUCCAGCCAUGCCGCGUGCGUGAAGAAGGCCUUAGGGUUGUAAAGCGCUUUCGGCGGGGAAGAUGAUGACGGUACCCGCAGAAGAAGCCCCGGCUAACUCCGUGCCAGCAGCCGCGGUAA
rnacentral:rRNA from 1 species